rnacentral:lncRNA from 1 species
AGCUAUCUAGUUUAAACCCUAACAAAAGGAUUGACUAAAAAAUUCAAACACGAAACAAUGCAAUUCAUCCAAAACAGAAGAACACCUCCAUUAAUGGGAUCUUCUAAUCAACCUACAAAGAACAUAUAUUGUUUUGAGAAAUCAAAAUCUAAGCAAAAUCAAUUUAAACAUAGAUUCAAAAUAUUUAAGAAAAAGAGAUUGAGUAGAAAAAUCGGAACCUAACCUCCAAAAUUCUUCAACAAUCGGUUUGAAGGCUCUUUUCGUUGCCCCUCUCUCUGUCGCUAUCUCUUUUACAGAGGUAAAAGCUAUA